ACGAAGAGUAUGGGUAGUUAGUCGUUAAAACGAGACGAAACGAGAUAUUUAACGACUAACGGGUUAAUAUCCUAAAUAUCUAAACCUACCCUACCCCAAACCACCCCCCAACCAACCAAACCCACCCACUCACAUUUAUUACACGGCUAUAUCAGCCAACUCACACAACAACAAACACAUUCACACACACAACACCUAAAACACACACACACUUCACGCCAUUUUCAUUUUAGCUUGAGCUCAAGCUUUUGACUUCCGAUUUGAGCACCGAGACGAGCGCCGAUCAUCUUUUCGAUCACGUAUCUAAGUAGGUCCUUUUGGGAAGUAACGACUUGAGGGAGAGAGUGACGUUACUCAUUGAUACAGAGACACAACGAGGUUGAGCUGAUGUGAUGAUGGUGCUGCAAUGAGCGGAGUCUCCAGGGUUGUUAAUAAAUAGUUAACCUGUCUAGAAUAUGUCUUCAUACAUAUGUCUAGCUACUUUCCGCUGCAAGAUGUUGAUGAUGUUAUAGUAUGUUAUGUCAUACUUUGAGUCUUAAGAGAAUGGUUUCAUACGAUGUAUAACUUGAUUAAUGAUAUUAAUUAAGUUUUAUGCUGUCUUU